CAACAACAGCUUCACUCAAAAUCUCUGUUCGGCCAAUUACAAUCUCUCAAAUAUCCAGUUUACGUCAACAGACCAGACAUGUCCAUCAAACCCUUCAUACUUUCCCAGAGAAAUGAUAAUUAUCCAAAGUGGAGACCAUGUUUAUGACAUCAUAGCAGGAUAACAGGAGUUAACGUCUGGAUUGGCAACCCAGCACCAGGGCUGGGUAAACUAUUAACCAGGCAGUAGUACAUCUUAGUAAUCACUGGGUUGUUUAAACAGAACAAAGUCCAAAUCACAAGUGGUAUUUCUACAGCAGCGUGCCACAGGGCCAAAGGCCUCACCCUCACCCUCACCAGACACCACCAUCAGUAUGUCUAGCUUGGUGUUUGUCAGAGGUUCUCUGGGAGGUCCCUGGAUGGCUGCUGUGGGUUGGGGUCUUCCUGCCUGUCAUUCUGCUGCUGAUACAGAUCAUUGUUUACCUGAACUGGAAGCUGAAGGAAGCAGAGGCAGAGUUGUCUUCAGCACCUUACCCCAGGGACAUGGCCUCACCCAGGCAGAGACGACAGGAUAUACACCUGAGAAGGGGAACUGUGGAUGGCCCCCUGCUGGGUACAGUACAGACCUCUGAGAACUCACAGGACAUGCAGGCACAAUAGUGUCACAUGGAGAGCACAGGGGAUGGAGAUGCUGAAUACAAUUACUAUCCACCUCCAGAUCAUGGAUAAAACGCCAGCUAAGACACAGAGUGAAGCAACAACCUGCAAAGGAUAAUAAUAUGGAAUUCCAAAUCACUGUUUACAAACUGUUGGAAUGCAGAGAUAAUGUGCAUAUUUUAUUACUAAAAUCAUUGUUUAUUGUA